UGGAAUGUCAUGAUGUAAUCAUGUAUACAUAAUCACAUAUGUCUUACCAACUUUAUUCCAUUUGCAUCACAGGUCCCACACUUAUGAGGAAAGCAUCACCCAAAAAUGAGAACACCUAGAGACAGGAAUUCAGGAGCCUUCCUUAACCGUCUGUCUGCAACAGCAGAGGCUGGGAAGUCCAAGACUGAGGGAUCACAUCUGGUGAGGGCCUUUUUGCCAGUGAGGACUCUCCAGAAAGUGCUGAGGCGGGACAGAGCAUCACAUGGUAAGAUGGCCAAAUAGGCUUUUAUAACAGAUCUGCUAUUAUGAUAACUAACUCAUUACCUCAAUAACCCAUUAAUCCACUAAUCUGUGAGUGGGCUAAUCUGUUCAUGAGGGCAGACUUCUCACGACUUACUCAUUUCCCAAAGGUCUCAUCUCUCAACACUGCUGUGUUGAGGACCAAGUUUCCAACAUGAACUUCUGGGGGACACAUUCGCACCAUAGCACCUGGCAAUCUCAUACCUAUGUAUAUAUCCAUGCAAAAUGAAAAUAUGUCCACAGAAACACUUGUACAUGAAUGGUCAUAACAUUAUUCAUAAUGGCAAAAAAGGAACAACCCAAAUGUUCAUCAAUUAAUGAUGAGUAAACAAAAUGUAAUGUAUCUACCCCUUGGAAUAUUAGUCAUAAAAAGUAAUGAAAUACUGAUAAAUGCUUCAGCAUAGAUAGACCUUGAAAACAUUGUACUAAGUGAAAGAUGCCUGAUGCAAGAAGUCACACAUACUGUAUGAUUCCAUUUGUAUGAACUGUCCAGAACAGGCGAAUGCAGAGACAGAAAGUAAAUUAGUGGUUGCCAGGAGAUGGGAGGAGUGGAAUGGGGAGUGAUUGUUAAUAGGUACAGUUUCUUCAUUGAAGUAGUGAGAAAGUUCUGGAAUCAAGUGAUGAUGGCUGCAUAACUGUGUGAAGUAUAAUACUAAUUUUGUUAAUAAAAUACGUAUAAGUACAUAAGCA
rnacentral:lncRNA from 13 species